rnacentral:rRNA from 1 species
AAUGCGAUAAUGUAAAGGAUAAAAUAUGAUAUUACUUUACUAUUAGUGUUGUCCAAAUCUGGUGCCAGAAGACUCGGUAACGCCAGAAACGCGAACGUUAGUCACAUUAACCAGGCGUAAAGGGUUCGUAGGCAGUUUAAUAAGUUAAAUUUUUAUAUAGCUAUUUAAACAUAUAUAAUAAUAUAGGUUUAUUUAAAAUUUAAUAAAUUUAAAAUAGAAUCAAAUUGAGGAUAAGCCGAAUAAUGCUUAGAGUAGGGAUUAAAUCCUUAGAUACUAGGUGGAAUACUUAUGGUGAAAGCUUUUUAUCUAAUAAUGAUCGACGCUGAGGAACGAAGGUGAGAAUAGAAAAUAGGAUUAGAGACCCAGAUAUCUCUCACUGUCAACGAUGAAUGGUGGAUUUUUAGUUUUUUACUAGAACCGAUGUUAACGCGAUAACCAUUCCGCCUUGAGAGUACGGUCGCAAGACUGAAACCAAAAAAAUUAGUCGGUCU